GACGAACGCUGGCGGCGUGCUUAACACAUGCAAGUCGAACGGAAAGGCCCUGCUUUUGUGGGGUUCUCGAGUGGCGAACGGGUGAGUAACACGUGAGUAACCUGCCCUUGACUUUGGGAUAACUUCAGGAAACUGGGGCUAAUACCGGAUAGGAGCUCCUGCUGCAUGGUGGGGGUUGGAAAGUUUCGGCGGUUGGGGAUGGACUCGCGGCUUAUCAGCUUGUUGGUGGGGUAGUGGCUUACCAAGGCUUUGACGGGUAGCCGGCCUGAGAGGGUGACCGGCCACAUUGGGACUGAGAUACGGCGCAGACUGCUACGGGAGGCAGCAGUGGGGAAUAUUGCACAACGGGCGGGAGCCUGAUGCAGCAACGCCGCGUGCGGGAUGACGGCCUUCGGGUUGUCAACCGCUUUCGCCUGUGACGAAGCGUGAGUGACGGUAAUGGGUAAAGAAGCACCGGCUAACUACGUG
rnacentral:rRNA from 1 species